GUUCUCCACGCAACAUUUAGAGUUACACCAAUGCUUGGAGACUUGCGCAAAGGCCUCCAGCUGUAUGGAUUGCUGGACAUUCUUAUGGAGCAUCCAAGUCUUUGCAAGAGUCUGUUUGUUCCUGGGGAGGAUUGUACAAUAAGCCAGAUGCAGACUAUAUUCUCAGCAAUGUUGCUCCUGAAAUGAGUGAGAGAGGAAGUUCAAGGGAUUCGGUAGAGAGCAAAAUCAAACUUCUUUCAGGACUUCCUUCAAGAAAUUGAAUGUGGAGGCUGUCUGUCACAAUCCUACUGGAUCCCGGGAGACGAG